rnacentral:SRP_RNA from 12 species
ACAACGUUGACGUUAUGGUGGUGAGUCAGAGUGACUCUGGUGUUGGCUGUCGGAGAAGAGGGAAAGACGAGGAAAGGAAAGAGGAAAUGGUUGAGGAAAGAAAAGAAGAA